GACGAACGCUGGCGGCGUGCUUAACACAUGCAAGUCGAACGGUGAAGCGCCUUCCUUUUUGGUGGGUGUGGAUGAGUGGCGAACGGGUGAGUAACACGUGAGUAACCUGCCCCCUUCUUCUGGAUAACUGCAUGAAAGUGUGGCUAAUACGGGAUAUUCUGGGUCUGUCGCAUGAUGGGUCUUGGAAAGAUAUUGUUUCGGUGGGGGAUGGGCUCGCGGCCUAUCAGCUUGUUGGUGGGGUGAUGGCCUACCAAGGCGGUGACGGGUAGCCGGCCUGAGAGGGUGGACGGUCACACUGGGACUGAGACACGGCCCAGACUCCUACGGGAGGCAGCAGUGGGGAAUAUUGCACAAUGGGCGCAAGCCUGAUGCAGCGACGCCGCGUGAGGGAUGGAGGCCUUCGGGUUGUGAACCUCUUUCGCCAGUGAAGCAGGCCUGCCUCGUUUGUGGGUGGGUUGACGGUAGCUGGAUAAGAAGCGCCGGCUAACUACGUG
rnacentral:rRNA from 1 species